UACGAAGGGUGCAAGCGUUAAUCGGAAUUGACUGGGCGUAAGGGUGCGUAGGCGGUUGUUUAAGUCUGUCGUGAAAUCCCCGGGCUCAACCUGGGAAUGGCGAUGGAUACUGGGCAGCUAGAGUGUGUCAGAGGAUGGUGGAAUUCCCGGUGUAGCGGUGAAAUGCGUAGAUAUCCGGAGGAACACCAGUGGCGAAGGCGGCCUUCUGGGAUGAUCCUGACGCUCAGACCACGAAAGCUAGGGAGCGAACGG
rnacentral:rRNA from 1 species